rnacentral:tRNA from 1 species
CGUUCUGUGGCUUAGUUGGUUAAAGCGCCGGUCUAGCGAAUACGGAGUCGUGGGUUUGAAUCCCACCAGAACGC